rnacentral:rRNA from 1 species
UACAGAGGGUGCGAGCGUUAAUCGGAAUUACUGGGCGUAAAGCGUGCGUAGACGGUUUUGUAAGUCGGAUGUGAAAUCCCCGGGCUCAACCUGGGAAUUGCAUUCGAGACUGCAAGGCUUGGGUGCGGAAGAGGGAAGCGGAAUUUCCGGUGUAGCGGUGAAAUGCGUAGAUAUCUGGAGGAACACCGGUGGCGAAGGCGGCAUCCUGGACCGGCAUUGACGCUGAGGCGCGAAAGCUAGGGGAGCAAACGGG